UGACGAGUGGCGGACGGGUGAGUAAUGUCUGGGAAACUGCCUGAUGGAGGGGGAUAACUACUGGAAACGGUAGCUAAUACCGCAUAACGUCGCAAGACCAAAGAGGGGGACCUUCGGGCCUCUUGCCAUCGGAUGUGCCCAGAUGGGAUUAGCUAGUAGGUGGGGUAACGGCUCACCUAGGCGACGAUCCCUAGCUGGUCUGAGAGGAUGACCAGCCACACUGGAACUGAGACACGGUCCAGACUCCUACGGGAGGCAGCAGUGGGGAAUAUUGCACAAUGGGCGCAAGCCUGAUGCAGCCAUGCCGCGUGUAUGAAGAAGGCCUUCGGGUUGUAAAGUACUUUCAGCGGGGAGGAAGGGAGUAAAGUUAAUACCUUUGCUCAUUGACGUUACCCGCAGAAGAAGCACCGGCUAACUCCGUGCCAGCAGCCGCGGUAAUACGGAGGGUGCAAGCGUUAAUCGGAAUUACUGGGCGUAAAGCGCACGCAGGCGGUUUGUUAAGUCAGAUGUGAAAUCCCCGGGCUCAACCUG
rnacentral:rRNA from 1 species